CAACACUGGACCCAAUGGUAAGGUGACCAUGGCCAUAGAAAAGCUAGAUAGUCUUGCAGACGAGCUAAAGAAAAAUUCAGGAGUCACUGACACUUGGGACAGAUGGUUUGGAUGGAUGAAUGGUUGGCAAAGGACCCUCUUCCAGGUGGGGACAGCUGUUCUCAUAAUGAUCGUCAUUUUCUUAUUUUUGACCUGUUGCAUAUUCCCCUGCAUACAGAACUACUUACAGAAAGCGGUAGACAAGACUAUAGAUGGCGUGACCCCUACUUUCAUACACCAAGACAUCACAGACCUCGAAGAUGAUACUCCACAUACACCCCUUCA